UACGUAGGGUGCGAGCGUUGUCCGGAAUUACUGGGCGUAAAGGGCGCGUAGGCGGCCUUCUAAGUCGAACGUGAAAUCCCCGGGCUCAACCCGGGAACUGCGUCCGAUACUGGAAGGCUUGAAUCCGGGAGAGGGAUGUGGAAUUCCAGGUGUAGCGGUGAAAUGCGUAGAUAUCUGGAGGAACACCGGUGGCGAAGGCGGCAUCCUGGACCGACACUGACGCUGAGGCGCGAAAGCUAGGGGAGCAAACGGG
rnacentral:rRNA from 1 species